rnacentral:rRNA from 1 species
AUUUUACGUCCUGCACCGGCCACCCUGAAAAACUCGGUUGAGGCCCAACUGGGCCCGUUCCCCUCGCCCGUGACUGUCUGCUCUCUUCCCCGAACGCACCCGCAGCACGCCGCCGUGAACAACCGCGCCCACCGCCGUCGCCUCGCCUGCCGAACUUGUCUAAAAGCUCCGCCGAGCCACGCUGCAUCUCCUCACCGAUGAACACGAGCCCGGGAGCACCACAGCAAGCCUUUGGGCUCGUCACCGCCGCCUCUGCUCGCCGAUCGCCGGCGUCGAUUCGCCACCGUCAACGCUUCCCCGAGCUCGCCGACGACGCCGUCGGAUGCGCCGUGAGCCCCUCUCCGUUUUCCUCCUGUUCUCCUUCUCGCGCUCGAGCCCUAGCUAGCUAUUCCGCCAUGGCUGAGAUCUCGCUGCCGCCGCCGUGUAGAUCGCCAUCGCUAGCCAUCCCCUAGUGCCUCGAUGGUACUCCGCCUCGAUGGCACAUCCAGCCGACGCCCGUAUCACCGUCUCGAUGGUAUUCCGCCGCGCGGGAUUGUCGCCGGCGGCUAACCCCGGCCGGCUGACGUGUCGCUGUUUAAUUAGCCGCUAACGACUCCGUUAACUAGCCACUGAGGCGCUGACUACUGGGACCCCAGCUAAUUAGGUUAGUUAAACCCUCUAUUUAGGGUUAGUUUAAUUCACGUGGCAAAUCAAUUCUCUCAUCAACUUUGACUGCUUCAAGCAAGCUACAAACUCAAAACGAAAAUUUCCUUACAACUGCGGUGCAGAUGGCUGCACAGAAUCUGGAAGUUCAAUUGUGAAUUGUGAUGGAAAGGAGGCAAGAAACUGUCAAUAAACACAAGAAAUGUGCUGGUAAGCAUGAACCGGAUGGCGUUAGAGUUGCAAAUUUUCCAUGUUACCUCCGAGUUUGUUGGCCCAUCGAUGCUGGAAACCGGUAGAACAUAGACCCGAAGUUAUAUGAAGAGAGUGGAGAUGACGCGGAGUUUAACUAACGUAUUUUAAUACGGCCGCGUUUCCUACUGUAUUUUAAUACGGCCGUAUAUAUAUACCAAGAAACGGAGUACGACUAAAACGGACGUGCGGAGACGGACCCGUGCAUGAUAACAUGUGCAUAUCGGUACAGGAUAUUGUUGUACCAUUGGUACAGAUGAGAUGGAAUUGUACGUGACGACGUUCUUAUCCUAUCUGUUCCCCUCCCCACCUUGCUCGCCGCCGCACAAAUCGACACCAUAGCCACCGCUAACCAUGCGCCAUAUCCGGCCACCGCAGUGCAGCUGCGUGCCGUUGCCUUCGUACAACAUCUCCCGCCCGACGACCAUUGCCUCCGCCGCGCGGCAAGAAGCCACACAGUUCCCGCGGCGGCCUCGCGGGGAGGAGCACGACAGGCCCUGGCGGCGGCCUCGUGUGCGGGGCAGGGCACCACGCCAGGGAGAGCGGUCUCGCCCUCCACGGGAUCCCGAUGCGGGGUGGAGUCGCGGUGGAGGUGCUGCUCGUGGGGGGAACGAUGGCCUGCCUCGCGCGAUGCGGUGGUGAGGAUGUGGGAUGGCUGCGGCGGGCGGCUAUGGAAGCUGCCGAGUCGCGGCACCAGAGGCGGAGGGAGCGGCUAGUGAUGGGGGCGAGGGCUGGGUGCUCUCCUCGUCUCACGCGGUCGCCGAGGGAAGCCGGCGGCUACUUCUGUUUCUGUUGGCAGCCGCUCCCGCUUCUGAUCUGAGUGGAUCCUGCUCCUGCUCGCCCCUGGUCAACCUCCUGCAUCGGUGCGCCCCUGUCGCCUCCGUCGACUCCACCCGUGGGUUGAGGAGAUGGCCGAAUCGACCGCCGUGGCGUGCAAGCGCGGCCUGCUACUGCACAACCACCAGCGCCAGUGGAGGAGCUGCGGCGGGGAGGUGUUCAUCUACUCUCUUUUGUCACUGGAAUAAGGCAAUGACGUUUUUGGGCUUCCCCCAUUUUUGGGCUGGUCCGCCGAAGGGGAAGAGCCAGAUCGUUGUCCCUGCUAGCGACAAGUUUAUCUGACGUGGGAUGGUUCGGGCUAGAGGGGUACUUCUACCGAACGAGUUCGUUCGUUCCAGCGACUCUCCCAGCACAAACGACUCGUUCGGGCUGGGGUAUCCCCAGGCCGAUCGUUCGGCAGUUAUCGAUGUCCAAGAUCAUGGCUAUGGAGAUUAGGAUCACCAGAGACGAGGAAUUGGAGUUCUUAUCGGAUCUAGUUGACAGAUUUCCCCUGCUGGAUCUGGCCGGCGACGAGCUGCCGGUAUAGCACGGCAGAAGCCAGGCUGUAAUAUGUGGACCUGCGGACUCAAGCAUUGGCGAAGCAGGAGAUGCCAUGGCAGUAGUGGAAACAGAUUUGAACAGCACUUGUCAGGGGGUUGCCCUGUCGGUGCCGGCGUCCGAGCAAUCUACAGGGAAGGACGACCCUGAAGCCCCUGGCUGGACGCGAAGAAUCCGUGUUGGGCGUGUGCCUGAUGAAUGGCCCCCAUGUGCUGCCAGGAUGAGUGCAUUGGAGCUAACAAUACGAAUCUAUGCAGAGAAAAAAACCGAAACUGUGAUAGUUCCUGCUAUGGGAGCCAGUUUCGAUACGCUGGGGAAGCUUACGACUACUACAAUCUAUAUUCAUGGGAGGUUGGGUUCGGAGUGAGAUACGACAAGAGCCAUCUAAAUGUUGAGAGAACAAAAUGCAUGCAGGAGAUAGUUUGCACACACAAAAUGCAUGCAGGAUACGGUAAAAGAAAUUGUUCCAGCAAUUGCACACACAAGCGGGAACGUUAGUGAUGCAGAAGGCAGUGCUAUCGGGGAUUUCAUAGGACUGAAACCACCUGAGCGGAAAAGGAAAGCCGCGCGACCAACAAAUAGCAGAGAUAAGCCUCCGUAUGAUGACCGGGGUGCAAAAAGCAAAAGGAUGAAGCAACGCACAUCUGCUGAAGAUGUCGAUAGGUGUGGCACGAGCAAACGCACUCGCUUCUGCAGCAUAUGCCGAGAACCUGGUCACAAGAGCACAACUUGUCCGCGACGAGGAGGUCUUCCACUGAAAGAAAGGAACGAGACUAAAUGCUCUAUAUGUGGUGUCGGUGGCCACAGGAGAAACACCUGCAAUAAGCCAAAGGUUGUUUUAUAUGUUGCUGGGACAACUAACAUGGACAUGAAUGCACUCACCAGUCUGAUUUGAGAUCGUCUGUUCAAUCUGUGUAAUAAACCUGUUCUUGAGGGCUCCGCAGCCGAUAAUUGAUAAAUCUGUGUAAUAACAUGCUGCGUCGAUCUCUGUGUGCCAUCUCUUGUGUUUGCACCUCAUUAUGUAAUGACCUGUUGAAUUUCAGAUGUGUUUUCAGUUCCAUAUUUUAUUUUUCACGUCAUAUAUUGAUGCCC